rnacentral:rRNA from 1 species
AUUGAACGCUGGCGGCAGGCCUAACACAUGCAAGUCGAGCGGAUGAAGGGAGCUUGCUCCUGGAUUCAGCGGCGGACGGGUGAGUAAUGCCUAGGAAUCUGCCUGGUAGUGGGGGAUAACGUCCGGAAACGGGCGCUAAUACCGCAUACGUCCUGAGGGAGAAAGUGGGGGAUCUUCGGACCUCACGCUAUCAGAUGAGCCUAGGUCGGAUUAGCUAGUUGGUGGGGUAAAGGCCUACCAAGGCGACGAUCCGUAACUGGUCUGAGAGGAUGAUCAGUCACAGUGGAACUGAGACACGGUCCAGACUCCUCGGGGGGGCGGCAGUGGGGAAUUUUGGAAAAGGGGGGAAGCCCUGAUCCAGCAAUGCCGGGUUGGGAAAGAAGUUCUUGGGUUUGAAAAGCCCUUUAGGUUGGGAGGAAGGGAAGUAAGUUAAUCCCUUGUUGUUGGGACUUUCCAAACAAAAAAAGCCCCGGCAAACUUUG